GGAGUGGGACGGCCCUAUAAGGGUGUAGGGUGGCCCCAUAAGGGGGUGUGUGGGGUGGCCCUAUAAGGGGGGAGGGGGAGAAGUGUAGGGCAGCCCUACAGUGAGGGGGGGCGAAGCCCUUAUGGGGUCUGUGGGAUCUCUGUGGGAUCUCUAUGGGAUCUCUAUGGGGUUUUUAUGGGGUUUCUAUGGGGUUUCUGUGGGUCUGGAUGGGAUCUAUGGGAUCUCUAUGGGGUUUCUAUGGGAUCUGUGGGAUCUCUAGGGGUUUCUAUGGGACCUGUGGUGUCUCAAUGGGAUCUGUGGGAUCUCUAUGGGGUUUCUAUGGGUUUGUAUGUGAUCUAUGGGAUAUAUGGGAUCUGUGGGAUGUCUAUGGGGUUUCUAUGGGACUGGAUGGGAUCUGUGGGAUCUCUAUGGGGUUUCUAUAGGUCUGGAUGUGAUCUAUGGGAUCUGUGGGAUCUCUAUGGGGUUUCUAUGGGUAUGGGAUCUCUAUGGGGUUUCUAUGGGACUGGAUGGGAUCUGUGGGAUCUGUGGGUUCUCUAUGGGGUUUCUAUGGGUCUGGAUGGGAUCUAUGGGAUCUUUGGGAUCUCUAUGGGAUCUCUGUGGGACCUGUGGGAUCUCUAUGGGAUCUGUGGGAUCUCUAUGGGGUUUCUAUGGGUCUGGAUGGGAACUAUGGGAUCUCUUUGGGAUCUGUGGGAUCUGGGGGAUCUCUAUGGGGUUCCUAUGGGUCUGGAUGGGAUCUGUGGGAUCUCUAUGGGGUUUCUAUGGGUCUGGAUGGGAUCUAUGGGAUCUGUGGGAUCUCUAUGGGGUUUCUAUGGGACCUAUGGGAUCUCUAUGGGACCUGUGGGAUCUCUAUGGGAUCUCUAUGGGACCUGUGGGAUCUCUAUGUGAUCUGUGGGAUCUCUGUGGGGUUUCUAUGGGGUUUUUAUGGGGUUUCUAUGGGUCUGGAUGGGAUCUGUGGGAUCUCUAUGGGGUUUCUAUGGGAUCUGUGGGAUCUCUAUGGGGUUUCUAUGGGUCUGGAUGUGAUCUAUGGGAUCUGUGGGGUGCCUAUGGGGUUUCUACGGGUAUGGGAUCUCUAUGGGGUUUCCAUGCGUCUACAUGCGAUCUAUGGGAUCUGUGGGGAUGCCUCUGGGGUUUCUAUGGGUGUGGGAUCUCUAUGGGG
rnacentral:lncRNA from 1 species